rnacentral:rRNA from 1 species
UACAGAGGUCUCGAGCGUUGUUCGGAUUCAUUGGGCGUAAAGAGCUCGUAGGUGGUUCGGUAAGUCGGAUGUGAAAUCUCCAGGCUCAACCUGGAGGGGUCAUUCGAUACUGCCGUGACUAGAGUUCGGUAGGGGAGUGUGGAAUUCCUGGUGGAGCGGUGAAAUGCGCAGAUAUCAGGAGGAACACCGGUGGCGAAGGCGGAUCUCUGGGCCAUUACUGACGCUGAGGAGCGAAAGCGUGGGGAGCGAACAGG